rnacentral:rRNA from 1 species
UACGUAGGGGGCAAGCGUUGUCCGGAAUCAUUGGGCGUAAAGCGCGUGUAGGCGGCUCGAUAAGUCUGCUGUGAAAGUCCAGGGCUCAACCCUGGGAUGCCGGUGGAUACUGUCGAGCUCCAGUCCGGAAGAGGCGAGUGGAAUUCCUGGUGUAGCGGUGAAAUGCGCAGAUAUCAGGAGGAACACCAAUGGCGAAGGCAGCUCGCUGGGACGUGACUGACGCUGAGACGCGAAAGCGUGGGGAGCGAACAGG